AAAAGAAAAGAUUAGUGUAAGCUUGCAGAACUUGCAUACAGGUGCUGCACGGCUGUCGUCAGCUCGUGUCGUGAGAUGUUGGGUUAAGUCCCGCAACGAGCGCAACCCUCGUCCUUAGUUGCUAACAGUUCGGCUGAGAACUCUAAGGAGACUGCCUACGCAAGUAGGAGGAAGGUGAGGAUGACGUCAAGUCAUCAUGGCCCUUACGUCCAGGGCUACACACGUGCUACAAUGGGGUAUACAAAGAGCAGCAAUACGGUGACGUGGAGCAAAUCUCAAAAAUGCCUCCCAGUUCGGAUUGUAGUCUGCAACUCGACUACAUGAAGUUGGAAUCGCUAGUAAUCGUAGAUCAGCUAUGCUACGGUGAAUACGA
rnacentral:rRNA from 1 species